CUGAAUGCUAGUUGGUCAAUAAUUGUGUGGUUGUGGUCAGUGCUGAAUGCUACUGGGGUCAGUUUGUUAUAUCUGGAGUACUUCUCCUGUCCUAUUCGGUGUCCUGUGUGAAUUUAAGUGUUCUCUCUCUAAUUCUCUCUUUCGGACGACCUGAGCCCUAGGACCAUGCCUCAGGACUACCUGACAUGGUGACUCCUUGCUGUCCCCAGUCCACCUGGCCGUGCUGCUGCUCCAGUUUCAACUGUUCUGCCUUAUUAUUAUUCGACCAUGCUGGUCAUUUAUGAACAUUUGAACAUCUUGGCCAUGUUCUGUUAUAAUCUCCACCCGGCACAGCCAGAAGAGGACUGGCCACCCCUCAUAACCUGGUUCCUCUAGGUUUAUAAUCUCCACCCGGCACAGCCAGAAGAGGACUGGCCACCCCACAUAGCCUGGUUCCUCUCUAAGUUUCUUCCUAGGUUUUGGCCUUUCUAGGGAGUUUUUCCUAGCCACCGUGCUUCUACACCUGCAUUGCUUGCUAUUUGGGGUUUUAGGCUGGGUUUCUGUACAGCACUUUGAGAUAUCAGCUGAUGUACGAAGGGCUAUAUAAAUACAUUUUAUUUUAUUUUAUUUUAUUUGAGUGUUGAAUGCUAGUUGGUCAGUAAUGUUGUGGUCAGUGCUGAAUGCUAGUUGGUCAGUAAUUGUGUGGUUGAGGUCAGUGCUGAAUGCUAGUUGGUCAGUAAUUGUGUGGUUGAGGUCAGUGCUGACUGCUAAGGCCUUUAUUUUACAUGUCUAAAGAAACUCCAAUGCGUUAUAAUAUUAUAACAUGGGUUGAAUAGGAACACUUCUCAUGAAGAGCGAUCAGCACCUCUGUGGCAUCUUACUGUAUGUUUGGAAUCUCAUCUUCAUAAUGUGUAAACAUUUCAAACAACUUUCCUAAUACAACUUUAGGUAUUUCUUUGCGUAAAUAAUCAAUCAAAUUUAAGACUGGAUAAAUUGUGUUCAAUACCAGAGGAAAACAAAGCAAGCGCGUUCCAGGUUGCUCACAUCAAAACAUUAGAGAGCCCUAGGCAGGACCCUGGUUCUGGACAGCCAUACUUCUUCAUUUCUCUAAAGAAAAACAUCAACCAAUUUCUAAAGACUGUUGACAUCUAGUGAAAGCUAUAGGAACUGCAAGCAUAUUUCUAUUAAAACGGGCUUACCAUAAAAACGAAUGGAAAACAGGUUGACCUUAAAAAAAAAAAUCCCUUGAUGGAUUGUGCUCGGGGUUUCGCCUGCCAAAUCAGUUCUGUUAUACUCACAGACAUUAAUUCAAACAGUUUUAGAAACUUCAGUGUUUUCUAUCCAAAUCUACUAAUUAUAUGCAUAUCCUAGCUUCUGGGCCUGAGUAGCAGGCAGUUUACUUUGGGCACGCUUUUCAUCUGGACGUGAAAAUAGCGCCCCCAAGCCUAGAGAAGUUAAAAAGGAUGGUGAUUUGUUUCGGAGGACGCAU
rnacentral:lncRNA from 1 species